CGCACAGAUGGGGAUGGAGUCCCCCGACAACCGCCCGGCGGUAGGUGACCGUGAUGGGCUGAUGACUCCUGCUUGAGG
rnacentral:ncRNA from 23 species